rnacentral:rRNA from 1 species
UACAGAGGUCUCAAGCGUUGUUCGGAUUUAUUGGGCGUAAAGGGAGCGCAGGCGGAUUGGUAAGUCAGUGGUGAAAGGCUUAAGCUUAACUUGGGAACUGCCAUUGAUACUAUCAGUCUUGAAUGUUGUUGAGGUUUGCGGAAUGGGUCAUGUAGCGGUGAAAUGCAUAGAUAUGACCCGGAACACCUAUUGCGAAGGCAGCAGGCUAAACAAAUAUUGACGCUGAGGCUCGAAAGCGUGGGGAUCAAACAGG